rnacentral:rRNA from 1 species
GACGAACGCUGGCGGCGUGCUUAACACAUGCAAGUCGAACGAUGAAGCCGGAGCUUGCUCUGGUGAAUUAGUGGCGAACGGGUGAGUAACACGUGAGUAACCUGCCCUUGACUCUGGGAUAACUGCGGGAAACUGUAGCUAAUACCGGAUACGACCCUCGGAGGCAUCUCCUGGGGGUGGAAAGAAUUUCGGUCAAGGAUGGACUCGCGGCCUAUCAGCUAGUUGGUGAGGUAACGGCUCACCAAGGCGACGACGGGUAGCCGGCCUGAGAGGGGGACCGGCCACACUGGGACUGAGACACGGCCCAGGAUCCUACGGGAGGCAGCAGUGGGGAAUAUUGCACAAUGGGCGCAAGCCUGAUGCAGCAACGCCGCGUGAGGGAUGACGGCCUUCGGGUUGUAAACCUCUUUUAGCAGGGAAGAAGCGAAAGUGACGGUACCUGCAGAAAAAGCACCGGCUAACUACGUGCCAGCAGCCGCCGCUG